GACGAACGCUGGCGGCGUGCUUAACACAUGCAAGUCGAACGGAAAGGCCCUGCUUUUGUGUGGUGCUCGAGUGGCGAACGGGUGAGUAACACGUGAGUAACCUGCCCUUGACUUUGGGAUAACUUCAGGAAACUGGGGCUAAUACCGGAUAGGAGCUCCUGCUGCAUGGUGGGGGUUGGAAAGUUUCGGCGGUUGGGGAUGUACUCGCGGCUUAUCAGCUUGUUGGUGGGGUAGUGGCUUACCAAGGCUUUGACGGGUAGCCGGCCUGAGAGGGUGACCGGCCACCUUGGGACUGAGAUACGGCCCAGACUCCUACGGGAGGCAGCGGUGGGGAAUAUUGCACAAUGGGCGGAAGCCUGAUGCAGCAACGCCGCGUGCGGGAUGAAGGCCUUCGGGUUGUAAACCGCUUUCGCCUGUGACGAAGCGUGAGUGACGGUAAUGGGUAAAGAAGCACCGGCUAACUACGUG
rnacentral:rRNA from 1 species